rnacentral:rRNA from 1 species
UGCCAGCAGCCGCGGUAAUACGUAGGGGGCAAGCGUUGCUCGGAAUUACUGGGCGUAAAGGGUCCGUAGGCGGUGGGGCAUGUCGGUUGUGAAAUCUCCCGGCUUAACUGGGAGGGUGCGACCGAAACUGCUCCGCUGGAGGGCCGGAGAGGCGAGUGGAAUUGCUGGUGUAGCGGUGAAAUGCGUAGAGAUCAGCAGGAACACCGGAGGCGAAGGCGGCUCGCUGGACGGCACCUGACGCUGAGGGACGAAAGCUAGGGGAGCAAACAGGAUUAGAUA